AUGGUAAAUACCUUAGGUUAACCCUAAAUGCUUUGGUAUAUAUAUUACUUUUCUCUCUGAGACGGCUGUAGGCUGUAGGGAUUUAGGGCGAUUACUCUCGCCGUCUUGCAUCUAAGGCCGCAAUUACUAUUGUCGCUGAUUAAUUUUCAUGGAGGUUGAUUUCGUCAUGCAUAUAUUGUUUUCGAUGGAGCUUCAGCCACGAUUUCUCUGUUUAAAAGGUAUGGUUGUUUUUUUCUGUUGUGAUUUACUAUUUUUAUCAUUUGUAUUUGUAGUACACGAAUACACGAUGUAGGAUGAUUUGUGUUUAAUGUAUUUGUCCAGUCUUUUUAAUAAUAAUUUUUAUUUGCUUUUUAGGACCUAGAAGAAAAAAAGUGUAAAAAAAAAAAAUAAUGAUAGCUUUUAUUUGCUCUUUGGACCAGAAGAAUAGAGUAAAAAAACAUUAGGGCGAUUAAGACAUUUAGUAAGUAUUGAGAAUUCAAAACGGUUAUAUGUUAUACUCUAGAUUUUGGCCCAUUUUUAAAUUGAGAAAUUGUUUUAUACUUAUAAUUUUUUUUAGCUGAAGCUAUUGUAUGAUUAAACCCAAGAAACCAAAAAGAAGAAAUUUACAUAUUAUAACCAAUUCCAUAUUCGCCUAAUUAAACAAUGUGGACUCCUACGGGCUGUCAACAAUCUAAAGUUCCUAUUUCUUUUUUAUAAAAUGACAAAAAUAGCCAUUUACACUAAUUGCAUUACAAAAAUAGCCAAAAUAAAUCGAAAUUACAAAAAUAGCCACCAAUUUCGCAGAUGAGAAGGUCCCAUCUGCAAAAUGACCUUCUUAUCUGCGAAAGUACAAGCACCUAAAGUACAGCUGUGCUUUAGGUGCUUGUACUUUCGCAGAUGAGAAGGUCCAUCUGCAAAAUGCCCUCGAUUUUGAGUAUAAAAACGUUUUUUUUUCUCCAUUUUUCACCCUUCUCUACACAAAAACUCCCUCUAACUUUGGGCUUCUUUCGGAAUUUUGGCUAGUUUUUGAAGAAAAUGGAGGAUUAUGUCAACAAUCCUGCAAAUAUGGUUAGAUUUUAACUCUUUUAAUGUCAACAAUCUCUUUAUUUUAUCAUUUGUUGUAUUAUUUAGUGUUAAAAAAGGGUAAUUUUGUUGUGUUUGAUAGUUUUAAUAUUUUUUUAGUAUACUUGAAGUUUAAAUGCAAGUAGAGACAAGUAGAGACUGCGUAGAUAAUGUUUAUAAUUUGUUAUUUUUGUUGUUUUUUUAGUUGUUGUAUAACCUGAAAUCUUGUAUAUUCUUAUCGUAUAAUUGUUUAUAUAAAGUGCAAAAUAGUCGUUUGUAUAUAUAUUUGUCGUAUAAGUAUAACAUUUGUAUAAGUUGAAAAUUAUGUUGCUCAUGACUUUUUCAUGUUGCUCAUGACUUCUCCAUGUUGCGCCUGCAACCUUACGUAGCAGGCGGUGAGGUUGUCAUCCAAAAUUAUGUAUUGCAUUCAUAUGAUGUCCAACAUCGUUUGUUUAAUUUCGUGUUAGAUAGAGAUUUUUGGAGCUUAUUGUUUGGGCAUACACACGACGGAUGGUUGGAGUCAGCGCAUAUAACCAUUUGAUACCGAUUAUUGAUGGAGAAACGGUUUGAGAGCGACCGACAUACAAUAAUGCCUCCAAAUUUUUUUGUUUCUCAUGCUUUGGAAGAAGGACAGGACUGGAGGGCGUUUAUGGCUGGUAUUGCUACGUACCCCAACUUCAUGGUUGCUUGGUGAAAUGUUGAUACGGUCUUAUUGCCGAUUCAUUCAUCCCAUAAUCAUUGGCUAUUUGGGGAACUACGAUUAGCGUCAAUAGAAGUGCAUAUUUAUGACAGUCUUGGUAGAGGGGCUUAUGAAAAAUUCAAAUCUGAAAGAAUCUUUUCCAAAUUUGAACGUCGGGUGGCAAAUUAUUUGGACAAGAUUAAGUAUUGGGCCCGGAGGAACAUCCCAAGGAUUCCAUUGAAUAUGCAAUUCAUUUAUGAAGAAAAUGUUCCCCAACAAAGUAGUCAUUUGGGAGAUUGCGGUGUUUUUGUUUGUAUGUUUAUGGAGCAAUUGGUUUCAGGUCAACCAAUACGUGUUCUUAUUGACCCAAAGAACGCAGCUUUAGAGUUCCGUCUACGGAUGACAAAAAUUAUUUGGGGGUCUAGUCUUGGUCCUAUGUAGUUGGAUUAUAUAAAUGUAUAUAUAAAUUAAUGUUGGAUUUCA